GAUUAGCCUGCGUCCGAUUAGCUAGUUGGUGGGGUAAGGGCCUACCAAGGCGACGAUCGGUAGCUGGUCUGAGAGGAUGACCAGCCACACUGGAACUGAGACACGGUCCAGACUCCUACGGGAGGCAGCAGUGGGGAAUAUUGGACAAUGGGGGCAACCCUGAUCCAGCAAUGCCGCGUGUGUGAAGAAGGCCUGAGGGUUGUAAAGCACUUUCAGUGGGGAGGAGGGUUGAUAGGUUAAGAGCUGAUUAACUGGACGUUACCCACAGAAGAAGCACCGGCUAACUCCGUGCCAGCAGCCGCGGUAAUACGGAGGGUGCGAGCGUUAAUCGGAAUUACUGGGCGUAAAGGGUGCGUAGGUGGUUGAUUAAGUUAUCUGUGAAAUUCCUGGGCUUAACCUGGGACGGUCAGAUAAUACUGGUUGACUCGAGUAUGGGAGAGGGUAGUGGAAUUUCCGGUGUAGCGGUGAAAUGCGUAGAGAUCGGAAGGAACACCAGUGGCGAAGGCGGCUACCUGGCCUAAUACUGACACUGAGGCACGAAAGCGUGGGGAGCAAACAGGGUUAGAUACCCUGGUAGUCCACGCUGUAAACGAUGUCAACUAGCUGUUGG
rnacentral:rRNA from 1 species